GACGAACGCUGGCGGCGUGCUUAACACAUGCAAGUCGAACGGAAAGACCCGGCUUUUGUUUCGUUGUCGAUUGGCGCACGCGGGAGUAACACGUGAGUAACCUGCCCUUGUCUUUGUGAUAACUUCAGGGAACUCGGGCUAAUACCGGGUAUGAUCUCCUGCUGCGCGUUGGUGGUUGGAAAAUUUCGGCGGUUGGGGAUGGACUCGCGGCUUAUCAGCUUGAUUGGCUAGUAGGUGCGGACCAAGGCUUUGACGGGUAGCCUGCCUGGGAGGGUGACCGGGCACCUUGGGACUGAGGUACGGCCCAGAAUGCUACCGGAGGCAGCAGUGGGGAAUAUUGCAAAAUGGGGCGAAGUGUGAUGCAGAAACGCCGGGUGCGGGAUGCCGGCCUUCGGGUUGUAAACAGAUUUCGAAUGUGCCGAAGAGUGAGUGACGGUAAUGGGUCAAGAAGCAACGGCUAACUACGUG
rnacentral:rRNA from 1 species